GCGAGAAAGCAUGCUAAUCUCACAAUAGGGUUGGCUGAGCUCACUUCUCUUUCUUGCUCAAAAGUCUUCAAAGAUUUUCCACUGCUCCGGCUGACGUCUGAAUUCCUGAGCCUGGCAGCACAGAGAAGUUCCUGCCUCACUAACAGUGUUAUCAUGGUCCUGAUGGUGCUGAACUGUCUCUGAAUCCCUUCCAUGUCUGAUGCUCUAAGCCAGUGCUUGUCCAGCUGUGGGUCACGUGCCCUUGACUAGUGACCACACGCUCCGUGAUUCGGACAACACCCGCACCCCUUCAUAGCCUGCACAGUGGGCCCGUUCCCAGCCCGGCCGCAGCCAGGAGAACUACCCCAGGGACACAAGGUCAGCAAGCCCUGGCCUCCCGGAGGUCAGCAGAGGUCAGCGUCCAGGGGAAGAGAGGCUGCACGCGGUCGGGAC